ACUUUACAAUGCGGGAAACCGUGAUAAGGGGACACCGAGUGCUAGCAUCAUAUGCUAGCUGUCCAGGCGUGUAAACUACGCCUGUUAGCAAGGGCCGGGCAAGACCGGUGCCAGCCGCCGCGGUAACACCGGCGGCUCGAGUGGUAACCGUUAUUAUUGGGUCUAAAGGGUCUGUAGCCGGCCGGAUAAGUCUCUUGAGAAAUCUGGCAGCUUAACUGUCAGGCUUUCAGGAGAUACUGUCUGGCUCGAGGCCGGGAGAGGUGAGAGGUACUUCGAGGGGUAGGGUGAAAUCUUGUAAUCCUUGAAGGACCACCAGUGGCGAAGGCGUCUCACCAGAACGACCUGACG
rnacentral:rRNA from 1 species